rnacentral:rRNA from 1 species
CGAGGAAUCUUGCGCAAUGGGGGAAACCCUGACGCAGCAACGCCGCGUGAGUGAGGAAGGCCUUCGGGUCGUAAAGCUCUGUCAGAUGGGAAGAAAUGGGUGGGGGCUAAUAUCGUCCAUCCUUGACGGUACCAUCAGAGGAAGCACCGGCUAACUCCGUGCCAGCAGCCGCGGUAAUACGGGGGGUGCAAGCGUUGUUCGGAAUCAUUGGGCGUAAAGCGCGCGCAGGCGGCUUGGUAAGUCAGAUGUGAAAUCCCUGGGCUUAACCCAGGAAGUGCAUUUGAUACUGCCUCGCUAGAGUACGGGAGAGGAAAGUGGAAUUCCUGGUGUAGAGGUGAAAUUCGUAGAUAUCAGGAGGAACACCGGUGGCGAAGGCGACUUUCUGGCCCGAUACUGACGCUCAGGCGCGAAAGCGUGGGGAGCAAACA